AGUUGUUGAUGGAGAACGUUUUAUUUAUGGAAUUUUUAUCUGUACAGAUGCUUCUGUCCUCAUCUUUAUAUUUGUCUCCCUCUUCUCAUUGAACUGCAAAAUUCCUGAAGGAUGAGACCUGGGUUGUUUAAUGCAAUCUGUACAUUCUCAGCAGAGCACAAGUAUCAAAUGGACAUCGGAUACAUUUUAAUAAUGAUCUAACACAAGCAGAAAUAAUCACUGAAAAUAUAAAACUCAACAAGAGACAUAAGAAAAAAACAGACGGAAAACAAAAUUAUUUUAUAAUGAUGCUAUACGUAACUUGUAAAAUAUUUAAGUUUUUAUACAUGAGAUUAUAUUGGUUUCCUUAAAGAAAAAAAUUACAAUUAAGAAUGGAAAUUAAAAUGUAAAACCAAGAUAAAUAUUUUUGGCUUUUGGACUUAAAAAAAAAAAAAGAUUAGUGAGAAAAACCAAGAAAUAAUGGGAAGAGAAAGAAACACUACUACUAAUUUUCUCGUUAUGAUUAAAAAAAUAUAUAUUUUAACCAUAUUUGGGGUGACUACAAAUUAACAGUGAUGAUCCUUUUGAGUUAAAAAAUCAGUGACACAUUUUAUUAAAA